UACGGGGGGGCAAGCGUUGUUCGGAAUUACUGGGCGUAAAGGGUUCGUAGGUGGCCUACUCAGUCAGACGUGAAAUCCCUCAGCUCAACUGAGGAACUGCGUCUGAUACUGGUUGGCUCGAGUGCAGGAGAGGAACGCGGAAUUCCAGGUGUAGCGGUGAAAUGCGUAGAUAUCUGGAGGAACACCGGUGGCGAAGGCGGCGUUCUGGACUGCAACUGACACUGAGGAACGAAAGCCAGGGGAGCAAACGGG
rnacentral:misc_RNA from 1 species